GAAAGUUCCGCAGUAUCUUCUCUCUGAACGGUUUCAUGGCGAUAAACAAAAUCUGAAUUUAUCUUUCACUCUUGGAGUCUGAUGCUCCUGGGAGUGACCGGCGUGCGCGUGCACACCAAUUACUGCCAUUCUCUGGGCCGGUCUUUCCUACAGGCGACAUAGGCGGUUGCCUAGGGCGCCAUUCAGAGGGGGGCGCCAAAAACUACGCAGAGCAAAAAAUAAAAUAAAA